CAUGCAGUCGAACGGUAGAGGGGGCAACCCCUUGAGAGUGGCGAACGGGUGAGUAAUAUAUCGGAACGUGCCCAGUCGUGGGGGAUAACGUAGCGAAAGUUACGCUAAUACCGCAUACGAUCUACGGAUGAAAGCGGGGGAUCGCAAGACCUCGCGCGACUGGAGCGGCCGAUAUCAGAUUAGGUAGUUGGUGGGGUAAAGGCUCACCAAGCCAACGAUCUGUAGCUGGUCUGAGAGGACGACCAGCCACACUGGAACUGAGACACGGUCCAGACUCCUACGGGAGGCAGCAGUGGGGAAUUUUGGACAAUGGACGCAAGUCUGAUCCAGCCAUUCCGCGUGCAGGAUGAAGGCCCUCGGGUUGUAAACUGCUUUUGUACGGAACGAAAAGGUCUCUCCUAAUACGAGAGGCUCAUGACGGUACCGUAAGAAUAAGCACCGGCUAACUACGUGCCAGCAGCCGCGGUAAUACGUAGGGUGCAAGCGUUAAUCGGAAUUACUGGGCGUAAAGCGUGCGCAGGCGGUUAUAUAAGACAGAUGUGAAAUCCCCGGGCUCAACCUGGGAACUGCAUUUGUGACUGUAUAGCUAGAGUACGGUAGAGGGGGAUGGAAUUCCGCGUGUAGCAGUGAAAUGCGUAGAUAUGCGGAGGAACACCGAUGGCGAAGGCAAUCCCCUGGACCUGUACUGACGCUCAUGCACGAAAGCGUGGGGAGCAAACAGGAUUAGAUACCCUGGUAGUCCACGCCCUAAACGAUGUCAACUGGUUGUUGGGUCUUAACUGACUCAGUAACGAAGCUAACGCGUGAAGUUGACCGCCUGGGGAGUACGGCCGC
rnacentral:rRNA from 1 species